rnacentral:rRNA from 1 species
AGGACGAACGCUGGCGGCGCGCUUAACACAUGCAAGUCGAACGAGAACCAGUCCUUCGGGGCUGGGGAAAGUGGCGAACGGGUGAGUAACACGUGGGUAAUCUGCCCUCGGCACCGGAAUAGCCCGGGGAAACCCGGAUUAAUGCCGGAUAGCCUCUCGAACCCUCGGGUUCGUGAGAAAAGGUAGCUUCGGCCUCUGGCCGAGGAGGAGCCCGCGGCGGAUUAGCUUGUUGGUGAGGUAACGGCUCACCAAGGCGACGAUCCGUAGCUGGUCUGAGAGGACGAUCAGCCACACUGGGACUGAGACACGGCCCAGACUCCUACGGGAGGCAGCAGUGGGGAAUCUUGCGCAAUGCGCGAAAGCGUGACGCAGCAACGCCGCGUGGGGAAGAAGGCCUUCGGGUUGUAAACCCCUUUCAGGAGGACGAAGGUGUGGCGGUGAAUAGCCGACCGUACUGACGGUACCUCCACAAGAAGCCCCGGCUAACUACGUGCCAGCAGCCGC